CCCUUAGAUGUUCUGGGCCGCACGCGCGCUACACUGACGAUGGCAACGAGUUUUUCCUUCGCCGAAAGGUGUGGGUAAUCUUUUGAAACAUCGUCGUGCUGGGGAUAGAUCAUUGCAAUUUUUGAUCUUGAACGAGGAAUUCCUAGUAAGCGCGAGUCAUCAGCUCGCGUUGAUUACGUCCCUGCCCUUUGUACACACCGCCCGUCGCUACUACCGAUUGAAUGGUUUAGUGAGGAAUCCUGAUUGGCGCCGCCGCCCCGGCAACGGAGCAGCGGACUGCCGAAAAGUUGUUCAAACUUGAUCAUUUAGAGGAAGUAAAAGUCGUAACA
rnacentral:rRNA from 1 species